GUGUUUGAACUUGUUUAAAGAUA
rnacentral:misc_RNA from 1 species